rnacentral:lncRNA from 1 species
UCCUGCUAGGCUCAUUCUGUGCACAAUGCAAUUGAACAAGCAAUGCAUGAACUCCUAUUGACAGUAUCCAUGACUAAGCAAUACAGAUUAACAACACCAGGGAUAAAUGUAAUUGAACAACCAAUGCAUUAAAUCAUAUUGACAGUAACCAUCACUAACCAAUACAUUUCAUGCACACCAGGCAUAAAUCAUGAUAGAACAAGCAAUGAGAGAACUCCUAAUGACAGUAACCGUGAGUAAGCAAUACAUUUGAUGCACACAACGGUUUCAUGUACGCGGCACCACAUAUACAGAUCAUGGAAGUACAGAGGGGGAGUGGGAACAAGUACCGAAUUGAUCUCGGCUGCCCCUGCUGGAGCCGCGCCACGACGCCGGGAACCGCGUGUCCUGGCCGUAGCACGACGCUGACGAGGCAAGGGAGCCGGGGCCUGGUCACCGCUGCCGGAACCAUCUCCGCCGGGAGGGCCGACCCGGCUGCUGCCGCCUCCUCCAACUCGGUCGCCAGAGCGAAGGAUGCCUUCGUAGUCGUUCAUGUUCGGCCACCCGGAGGAGGCAUUCAGGUUG